ACAGCUUGUAAGAAGGCAGUUGUAUUAACACAUGUGGAUGGAAUAGGUGUGUGUGUGUCGUUGUUGACUUUUGGUUCUAUGGUAGAGGAUAAAGGACAGUAAUAAGGUGUAAAAAUAUAAGGUAGUGUAUAGUUCUCAAUUGCAGUGUCGUUCAUAAUGACUAACAUUUGUCCCCUUCUCCAAUUAAUGAUACCAGUUAUAUAAUCAUUAUUAAAAGUAAUAAGGCCUGUCUGUUUACAUUGAUAUGCAACCUUAACUGUGCA